rnacentral:lncRNA from 1 species
CGGGGUACUCUCCAGUUCCAUGCCUAUGAUGUAGUCAUCAGAGUUGCAAAGGAACAAGAGGAUUCAUCUGACUUAACUGGAGAUGGCUCCCUUCCCCAUUUAUUGUUCCAUUCCUAAAGCUUCCCUCCUACCGGGCUCAGUGAGAGCAGAUGGGAAGAGGCACCCACCUCAGAGGAGCCAGGAAAAGCUAGAAACGGGAGACAGAGGGAGGCCAUCUCUCCAAGUGUUGGUACCAGCCAAAUAGGAUAAAUUGUUCAUAUUAUGAUGAUGACGACAACUAUAAUGAUGAAGAGAACAUAUAGACCCAGAUGAAAAAAACAAAGGCUUUGAUUUCAAGCCAUGCUUAAGUCCCAAAGUACUCCUGUUAGAGCCAUUUA